rnacentral:sRNA from 1 species
UGAUGUUUGGUGUAGUCGGUUUUUCCGU